UACGGGGGGAGCAAGCGUUGUUCGGAUUUACUGGGCGUAAAGGGCGCGUAGGCGGCCUCCGCAAGUCGACUGUGAAAUCUCCGGGCUUAACUCGGAACGGUCAAGUGAUACUGUCGGACUAGAGUACAGAAGGGGCAACUGGAAUUCUCGGUGUAGCGGUGAAAUGCGCAGAUAUCAGGAGGAACACCGGUGGCGAAGGCGGGUCUCUGGGCAGUAACCGACGCUGAGGAGCGAAAGCGUGGGGAGCGAACAGG
rnacentral:rRNA from 1 species